ACGCUGGCGGCGUGCUUAACACAUGCAAGUCGAACGAAAAUACCAAGCUUGCUUGGUUGAUUAGUGGCGAACGGGUGAGUAACACGUGAGUAACCUGCCCCUUACUUUCUGGAUAACUGCUCGAAAGGGUAGCUAAUACGGGAUAUUCUGGCCUUCCUGCAUGGGUUGGUUUGGAAAGGUUUUUUCUGGUGAGGGAUGGGCUCGCGGCCUAUCAGCUUGUUGGUGGGGUGAUGGCCUACCAAGGCUUUGACGGGUAGCCGGCCUGAGAGGGUGGACGGUCACACUGGGACUGAGAUACGGCCCAGACUCCUACGGGAGGCAGCAGUGGGGAAUAUUGCACAAUGGGCGCAAGCCUGAUGCAGCGACGCCGCGUGAGGGAUGAAGGCCUUCGGGUUGUAAACCUCUUUCGUCAGGGAACAAGGCACUGCUUUUGGUGGUGUUGAGGGUACCUGGAUAAGAAGCGCCGGCUAACUACGUGCCAGCAGCCGCGGUAAUACGUAGGGCGCAAGCGUUGUCCGGAAUUAUUGGGCGUAAAGAGCUCGUAGGCGGCUGGUCGCGUCUGUCGUGAAAACUUCCGGCUCAACCGGGGGCUUGCGGUGGGUACGGGCCGGCUAGAGUGCGGUAGGGGUAACUGGAACUCCUGGUGUAGCGGUGGAAUGCGCAGAUAUCAGGAAGAACACCGAUGGCGAAGGCAGGUUACUGGGCCGUUACUGACGCUGAGGAGCGAAAGCGUGGGGAGCGAACAGGAUUAGAUACCCUGGUAGUCCACGCUGUAAACGUUGGGCACUAGGUGUGAGGCUCCUUUCCGGGGGUUUUGCGCCGUAGCUAACGCAUUAAGUGCCCCGCCUGGGGAGUACGGCCGCAAGGCUAAAACUCAAAGGAAUUGACGGGGGCCCGCACAAGCGGCGGAGCAUGC
rnacentral:rRNA from 1 species